UACGUAGGGGGCAAGCGUUGUCCGGAAUUAUUGGGCGUAAAGAGCGUGUAGGCGGCCAGAUAAGUCCGCUGUGAAAUCUCGAGGCUCAACUUCGAGCUGUCGGUGGAAACUAUCUGGCUAGAGUCCGGAAGAGGAGAAUGGAAUUCCUGGUGUAGCGGUGAAAUGCGCAGAUAUCAGGAAGAACACCGGUGGCGAAGGCGGGAUCCUGGGCCAGUACUGACGCUGAGGAGCGAAAGCGUGGGGAGCAAACAGG
rnacentral:rRNA from 1 species